GAAAAUAUCAGCACAAUGGAUUUGUGUAAGCCGGAUAACUCAUUUAGUGAAAGUUCACACGAUUAUCUUUUUUGCCAACAACAAUAAAAAAAAAUGCACAACUCAGUCAACUCUGUUUCAGAUUACAAACUUGACGGCAUUCAACGUACGCAACGUAUUUGAAGUACCCAUGUGGCUAAAAUUAUCCAAGAGCAUCAUUAAUCGUUCGUCAUGAAAAUAUUGGAUCAAAGCUCUCAUAUGGCAACCCUAGCAAUUGAUCUCUGUCGGAUUUAAAAUAUUCCGCAACACUGGUUGGUCCGCUACUGUGUAACUAUGGAUUGGGCAAUCUUCACAAGAUAAUAUAAAACAGCGUUGCGUGUCACCAGCUCCAACCGCAAGCUCUAGUAAUCGAUUACAUGGUAAACAUGUAAUUGUGGCCAAGACCGCACAUGACCGCCAACAGCAACUUUCCAUUAUGCGUUCUGUCUCUUCCCAUUCAUUCAAAUGCAACAGCAGAAUUAACGCCGACAGCAUCGUCCUCAUGUCAGACACUCAAUGCGUUCUCUACAAUAUUUCCAAGGCAACUUCAACUGACACAUCAGUCGUUGGCGAUGGCAACAUUUGCACAUCGGCAACCACCUUAGAUGUUAACAAAUGAUAACGUCGCCGUCGGAGGUAUGACAGAAAAGCGUAAUAUGUAUAGGUUGCCAAUUUCAGGCAUAACUCGACAUUCGAAGAUUAGAUAUAGCCAGCAUACAUGGCUUCUGGCAUUUUUAUGCCGGAUCAAUUUGGCAAUAAAUUUCAAAGAAAUGAGGUUCGAAUGUAUCAAAGGCUGUUUAUUAAACUGCAAUGAACGUAUGAACGUACAGUGAGUCACCUUUAAUAAUGGAUUGUUGAGUGCCAAUGCCAAAUGUCUCUUUUAGGAAUUUGACAGAUGAAGAAGAAUAUAAUAAUGGGAUCAAGCCUAACUAUU